CUGGGAUGUUGUCGCCUUCUGAACAGAAGAGCAGCAGCACAGCCAGAGGGAGAUCUUCUGCACAGCUGAACACAACAUCCAGCACACAUGAUAAAUUAUGAUAUGAGGUCUGCAUGAAGUUGCCAACAGGCAGAUGCAGCUCUCUCUCUCGGUACCUGUCUGUGUAAAGUCCUUUGGUUAUGCCUCCUCCGGGGAUGUAGAGGCGUGGCUCUGUGUUGGCGUCUGUCAAUCCUGGGAAGGCCGACACUCGCUCCAUCUCCUUCCAGCCAAGGUCCUUCAAAGCAUCCGCACUCACCUUCAGCAGGGACGGAGUGACCAGGUACCUCAAAGGAGUGCUAACAUGGACACAAAUAUGUUAGCAGAGAUCACUGCAAACAGCAAAGGCAAAGAAAUGCAGCGAUGAUGUGAAGUCCACGGUUGGAAGUACCCUUGUAGCUGUUGGUCGUCCCUCUGGUAGGCAUGGCUGCUGGACAGAACUACAGUCCUGGAGAACCCGCUGGCUUUGAUCCAAGACACGAGCAACUGACGGAACUUUUUGGAUUUUGUCUGCAAUUAAAACAAAGGUUCGAGCCACAAAUACAGUAAAUACACCCACUCCAUUCUAGGUCCAUGGAAACACAAACUACAUCAUCAUCAUCAUACAUAAAUGUGUAGUUCAUGCUCUCUUAAAACAUAUCUCAGCUUAAAAAAAACUAGAUUAUACAAUUGAAAAGGUAGGCCUCAAACUCAAGAGAACACUCAUUUAGGUCAUAAAAAAUGAAGAAUCACCUCAUGCCGAUAUGCAACAGACUGAUUUUACCUGAAUAAUUGGUGCUCUGAUUUGAAGAACUGCCAUCUUCAGUUCUGCUGCUGUGUAAACUGUUGAUGAGGAAAGGUUAACAGAUUAAUUGUGGGUUAGUUUUUUUGAAUGUGUUGGGUUUCUUUUUAACUUCACAGCAGUGACAAAUUACACUGCUGACACUUGUCUCACAAUUUAUUCACAGUGUGCCGACACCCACUGAGACCCUGUCUAUUCGGUAAAGAAGCACCAUUCAGUCUUCAUUUUAGUCUUUGACAACCAAUGACUUUGGGAGAAUGUAGAGAAACACCAUAAGACAACUGGACCAGAAGACACUGACAGGAGACAUGGCCUGUUUAUCAAACAGUACAACACAUUUAACACUAAUAGCUUUCAGUACAGAUCAGUGUUUUUGGCUACACUUGCAGAUUAGCAAACUAUACUUGCACAGACAAAUUAAAGUUAGUAUUAGUUAUAUUAGCAGAAUUGAAUGAAUAACAAAGUACCUCAAACAGGCCCUCAGUGCUGGUUUAAUAGAGAACAUACUUCACAGAUGAAAUUUGCACAUUUAUUAUGUCUUAUUUACUUAGAUGGUACCUUCUGCAGGGGUGUGCAGCUCCUCAGCAUCUUCUUUGCAGGUAGCGUACGGGUUGUUUCCAGUCAUGGGAAUGAGACAGUCUGUGUGUAUGUAGCCAACUCUGCUCAUGUUGAGAGUGGACACAAUGAGGUCCACAGCCAGCUGGCCCACAUUCCCAACAGCCACUGCUGGCUGGUGGGGAGAAUACAAGUAUGAAUUGUUUCAUUCUUUUUUUCGUGCAAAAAUCCAGCUGCAUUUCAUGGUUUAGUAACGAAUUGCAGCCCUAUAUAAAAAGGUAAAUGGUGAUAACAUAAA